GCCGGAGAACUGCAUAACGAACUGAGCGCAUCAGACGUGCCCCCCUAACCACCACCACCACCACCAGUGGACGCAGGGUAUAUAAAGGUGCUCGGCUACUCUGAUUUUGACAGCAUUCUUCACCAAACCUCUCACAACGCUCGUUUCGACAGAACCCGGAAUGUUGAAAUCGACUUCUCUGAAAGCACUUGUUACGCUAUUGGUGGUGUCCUUCGUUCUAAUGGCAUCGUCACCUAGGGCAGCUGAUGCUCGCUAUCUGAUGACUCGAUCUGAUCCGCUGCUGUCACCGAUCGGGCCUCCUUACGGAAAAGACCCGCGCUUUGAUCGUCUCUACGACAUCAUCACAAAGUUGCUUCAAAACGGCGGUGGGGACCUGGAGUACCAAAUAAAAAGUCAACUCGACAGUGGACCGUAAACCACUGAUAAAAGAAGACCCCCAAAAUGCAUCUUAAUCGUCUAUGCCACUACGGAGGAAUAUUCUUCGUUGCUGUUCAAAAAUUACUUUUCAACCAUUUUCCAAGCUCCUAUAUAACUUCAUUAUUUAAAUACACAUUAUAACCGCAAAAUUCAUUUCAACAUGUAAACCAAGCUUAAUAUUAUACAUGUAUACGUAUUGUUUACUCUUUCUGAUCUGGGGAUAUAAUAAACCCUAAGAAUU